UACGAGUGCCUCGAGCGUUAUCCGGAAUCAUUGGGCGUAAAGGGUGCGUAGGUUGUCAUGUUAGUCCCUCGUUAAAACUUUCGGCUUAACCGAAAAUCUGCGAAGGAAACGGCAUGACUUGAGGAUGGAAGAGGUUUGCGGAACUCAUGGUGUAGGGGUGAAAUCCGUUGAUAUCAUGGGGAACACCGAAAGCGAAGGCAGCAAACUGGUCCACUCCUGACGCUGAAGCACGAAAGCGUGGGUCGCGAAUGGG
rnacentral:rRNA from 1 species